UAGCGUACCAUUCUCUCAAAAUACAAAAGGGAAAACUUCAAAAGCUUAAUGAUAUAGCCAUUGAUGGAGAAAGUAAAGCUCCAGACUUAAUAAGCAAACUUCCAACCAAAGAAGCUGUAGCAACUAGCGCGUGUACUCCAAACGCUGGAUAUUUCUUUGGAAAUCCUCGUCUCGACUCUCUUUUGAGUUACCCCAAUCAACAAUCACAGAUCUACAAGUCUUACCAUUAUAGACAAGUGAAUUUUUCAAGAUGAAUACUUCGAUUUUGAUGAGACAUUUCGGAAUUUGGGUGAACGAAUUGCAGUAUGAAAGUUACAAAAUCGAUGGAAUCGUUGUUGGAGAUUCAAUUUCGUUUUCUAAUCUCAAAGCAGCAUUGCAGCCGAGUUGGAUAUUGAUGUAUCAAGCCGAGUUGGAUAUUGAGGUAUCAAGGAAAGAGUGCUGUAAGAGGGUAGAGAUAUAGGCAGUAAAAGUUAAAGUUUUGGGAGGAUUGGCAUGUGGCUAAUCUCUCUUUGUUGUGAGGUGUUGGGGUAGAUCAAUAAACCGUCGCUAAGAAUUAUCAGUAGAUGAGCUUAUACUAGUAGGUUAUGGAAUCGUCUGUUCAGACAAUAUGAAUGCCAACUCAUAAUAAAUGAAUAGCAUGGGUGAUUCAUCGA